GGUACGCGUGCGCCCCCCCCCCCCCCCCCGUGCCGUCAGAGCCAGCCUCGCCCAUCCGUGCGCAAAGGCGGCUGUGUGCAAAGCGCGGAAGGCACUUUCUUUGCGAUGACAGGUGGUGCAGUGAAGGUGGACAAACUGCUGUGCUUGUUAAGGGCUGCGUCCAGGAACCAAUGUCCAGUGUUUCAUUAGCCCUGGGGUCGCAAUCACUGCACUGCUGCCCUUCCAAGAAGGUUGUGUCACAGGAUGUCAUUGCAGCCUACCAACACAUCCUGCCGAGCCAUCUUUUGAGUCUGCACACUUCUGGCAACCGGAGCCAGCAACAUGAAGGAGUCACUAUUUGAAGAACUUGUCUUGCUUGGGCUUACACUCCUGUUUCAGGAAACUGGCAGAACAUCCAUGAGAUGCUGGUGAACAUUUUGGCGGUAUUUUCUGACCUAUCUCAGGCACCUGUCAGAGGAGGACGAUACAGAUAUGGAAGACUUGAACUGUCUGAUGCUGUUCACAAGUCUCUUUAUAACUGCUGAUGCCCCUUCCAUAGACCAGCACUUCUGGAGCAGGACCACAAGCACAGACUGGUGGAUCACUUCAUCACUCUGGGAUGACCACCAGUGGCUCCAAAAUUUUCACACAAAGAAAGCUACAUUUCUGGAGCUUUGUGAGCAGCCUGCCCCAACCCUCCAGCUUCACGAUACAGACGGGGGGCAGCCAUACCAGUCUAGAAGUGGAUUGCCAUAACCAUCUGGAAGCUGGCUACUCCCAAACUGCUACAUGUCUGUUGCUAACUAGUUUGGUGUUGAAAAGUCAACCGUGGGUAAAGUGGUGGCGGAAGUUUCUGAGGCAGUCAGGCGUGUGACUUUCCCCAAGUUGGUGGAUAUAAAUAAUAUCCCUGAAGUAAAUGCUGGUUUUGAGAGAAUGGGGUAUCCAGACUGUGCCGAGGCCAUCAAUGGGACUCAUGCCCAUAGUUUGCCCUCCUCAAGGAGCACACACAACUGCAGAGGCUACUACAUCGUAAUGCAGGCCCUUGUGGACUACAGAGGCUGAUAUAUGGAUGCCAACAUGGCCUGCACUGGAAAAGUUCAUGAUGCCCAGGGUUUUCCUCUGAUUGGGAGUCUAACUUCAUGGACAGGUUUGGACACUGUUCUGACCAAAUGAUAUUGUCAAAUGGAGUAACGGUCCCCAUUGUUAUUCUAGGGGAAACCACCUUGCUUUGGCUUAUGAAACUAUCCUCCUUUCAGAGGCCCUGGCAAAAGAAGGUUUAAUUACACCCUCAGUAGGUAGAAUGAGUGAGCAUUUGGUGGAUUGAAAUCCCACUGGUGCUGUUUACAGAACUAUUUGUACACCAGUGUAAUCAGUGCAGUCUGCAUUAUUGUGACUUGCUGUGUGCUUCACAAUCGUUGUGAAUCCAAAGGAUGAGCCAGUUGGCCCUGAAUGGACAUAUGACAGUAAUGGUUGCUGAACCGGUACACUCAGCCAGAAGGUGCACUUAUCACAGCUGGAGCAGGAUACACACGGUCAACAGAAAUCACGGAUACUUUAUGGACUUGCCUGGACCAGUAGAGGAGGGAGAAUGGUAUGUUUAUGAGUGUAUAUGUACAGUAAUUUUACAAUAAACGAAGUACUGUCGCUGUAUGCUACAAAUGGAGUGUGUGUGAUUGUCACAAAUGGUUAAUUGUGGAUGCGAUAACUGCUUAUCCAGUGGGGUGGGGCCAGUGGUUUGUGUGACAUGAACUGUGGAUUUUCAUUAUUGAUUGAUCUGAAUGGAUGUAUUAAGAACUUGUAUUGGGAUACAACUUCCUGGUUGUGCCUUAUCCUGUCUUCAUUCUUUGAAAUACACGUUAUAUGAUGUGAUGGAAUGAUGGCAAUAAACUUUUAUAAUAAAAUAAAAGGC